AGCAUAGGUGAAAUCUACUUGUG
rnacentral:siRNA from 1 species